AAAUUUCUGGUCUAUGCGCUACUAACAAAGAAUUUUUGAGCUUUACUCUUUUUUAAUGGGGUUAUCCCUUUAUAAAUUGUCUCAGGAAAAUCACGACUGCAUAAUGUUUUGUACGGAUUCUGUACAGUCUAUAAAUAUGACUACCACCUGUAACGUUUUACAGGCAAUCAAAAAUUAAGUUAGAACGGUAGAUCGGAUUUUUU
rfam:Leptotrichia buccalis DSM 1135, complete genome.